CAAAAACAAAACUCAAAAGUCUCUUACACGCCUCUCUCUCUCUUUCUCUCUCUCUCUCUCUCUCUCUCUCUCUCUCUCUCUCACACACACACACACACACAGAGGCACACAUAAACAGAGAGACCCAUGCACUUCACUUCUCUCUAUAAAAUCUCUUUCUUUCUAAUUGGGUUUGUUGAGCUGAGGCAUGGUUGCUGGCCAAAUCUGGAAUAGCCUAUUUCAUGGUUGUCUACCAUUUGAAGGAAAUCUUCUUCUUUGGGCAGAGCCCUUCCCGUCCACCAGCUAUACCAGUCUCUAGCUCAACACACGGUGCUUUGUUUAAGGAGGUUAGUCGGUAAAACCCAUUUGAUCAGUGACAGUAGAAGAGGCUUCAAAUUAGAGGUGUGUGCUUGAUGGAUUUCGUUUUCAGAAAUAAAUUCUCUGCUCUUGUUUUUGUGAAAAAACUUGGUUUUUAUGCUUUGACUGAUCUGUUUAUGUCACCAAUGUUAGCUGUAAGUUUGGUUUGUGUCACCAAUUUAAUGGGCUUUGCAUCAUCUCUCACAAACUACACUCUGUUUUUCUCAGACCAGUGGUGAUAUAUUGCUUUGGUGGGAGAACAGAGAAGUCAGAAAAAUUAAUUGACAAUUGAGUAGAAAAAUUAAUUGACAAUUGAGUAAAAAAAUUAAGAAUAACAACGCUGGAAAUACCUCAGCGAAUCUGUAAGAUUUAAUCCCCUUCCUGACAGAACCCAAGGGAGCUGGAAAGUGAGCACUUUGGAAGAGCAGAGGAAGAUGAGAAGAAUGGAAACGAAGAAGGCAAGCAAUUCGGUGGGAAAAAAAGGUGGUUUAAAUAGAGGCAUUUUCGUAAUUUUACUGUGCUUAGCUACAGUGUUUAGUUGCAUUGGGUUUUAGUGUAUAUAUAGAAUUUGUAUUGCGUUGUAGUUCACCUUUUUGUUAAUUACUAGAACUAACUCUCAGUACAAG
rnacentral:lncRNA from 1 species